GCUGUUUUCACAGUUGCACGUCUCACAGUCUCUCUCGUGUGUGAAACCACGUUCGGUGUAGACAAACGGGAUAUCCACGGCACGGACGACUGCGCGUUGUGACAGAACAAAUGCGCUCAGCAAAGGGGUGUGGAGCUGUUUCAGAAUGCACAAGAAGGUUUUUUUCCAGAAAGAUCUAAAUCAGAAGACGCAGGCAUAAACCAGACUUGUGACACUUCAAAUGCUACUGUGUACGUACACUCCAGACUGUAUCAGAAGAAUCUAGCUGAGAAGAAUCUAUCAGAAGAAUCUAGGCCUGAUGAGAGUGUUGUCCUUUCUUCCUCUCCUGUGACAAGGACAAGUUAUAUCUCCUCCUCUUUGCUGUGUAUAAAGAAAAUGUUGAGGAACCGUGUAAAAAUCU